UAAUAAGCGGAGGAAAAGAAACUAACAAGGAUUCCCUAGUAACGGCGAGUGAAGCGGGAUGAGCUCAAGCUUAAAAUCUCCGUACAAGUUUUGUAUGGCGAAUUGUAGUCUAUAGAGGCGUGGUCAGCGUGGGCGCUUGGGGCAAGUUCCUUGGAAGAGGACAGCAUCGAGGGUGAUACUCCCGUUCAUCCCUGAGUGGCUCGCGCGUACGACCCGUUUUCUUUGAGUCGCGUUGUUUGAGAAUGCAGCGCAAAGUAGGUGGUAAAUUCCAUCUAAAGCUAAAUAUUGGUGCGAGACCGAUAGCAUACAAGUACCGUGAGGGAAAGAUGAAAAGAACUUUGAAAAGAGAGUUAAAGAGUACCUGAAACUGCUGAAAGGGAACCGAAUCGUUUCCAGUGUCUAUAAUCCGUGACAUAUUUCAUUGGCGAGUGUGUGCGUGCGUGUGCUAUGGCAGCGGCCUUUUGGCUGCGMUUGGCGUGUGUGCUGUGUGUGCUUGCUGGUGCCCUGUGUUGCGGUGGGACGUCAAUGUCAGUUCGUAUGCUGCGGGAAAUGGCUGCCGAGGAGGUAGGGCUUACGCUUGCGUUUGUCUGUUAUAUCUUGGUGGACUAGUCGUCGCGGUUGGGACUGAGGUGCMUACAACGUGCUUUUGUGUGGGUUUGUGUCUCCGUGUGUACCGUGUGCGGAUAGCUUGCUAUGUGUGUGUGGUUAUGUAUGGAUUGAUGUAGACUCUAACUUGUUGCCGUUCGGGACAUUGACGAAAUGGAGCGAUCCGACCCGUCUUGAAACACGGACCAAGGAGUCUAACAUGUGUGCAAGUGUUAGGGUGUGGAAACCCCAGCGCGUAAUGAAAGUAAAGGGCAGAGCAAUCUGUCUGAGGUAGGAAACGUUGCGGAUCUUUGGUCUGUGGCGUGGCACUAUCGACCGAUCAUGAACCUUCGUGGUGAAAGAUUUGAGUUUGAGCACAUAUGUUGGUACCCGAAAGAUGGUGAACUAUGCCUGAGUAGGGUGAAGCCAGGGGAAACUCUGGUGGAAGCUCGUAGCGAUUCUGACGUGCAAAUCGAUCGUCAAACUUGGGUAUAGGGGCGAAAGACUAAUCGAACCAUCUAGUAGCUGGUUCCCU
rnacentral:rRNA from 1 species